rnacentral:lncRNA from 1 species
GGUAAAACAGCAAAAUCUUCCAUAAUUAUCAACGAGGUGGUGAGUGGUAGAUUUUUUAUUUUUUAUUUAUUUAUUUAUUUUUUGUCGUUUUGUUUUCAAGGCUCACAGAAGGAUGUGGAUUACAGAAAGAUAAGGUUAAAGGGGAGAAGAAAUCAAUCUUCAAAGGGUAAAAAAGUGAAAAACAGACAUCUCAGAACCCUUAAAAAGAGCAUCGAAAAGGAACAUCUCUCUUGCUUCAGGCUGGGGUUUAGUGGAAUGUGUGGAAUCUAUACAGUCAUCCCCAACAUCAGGUCAUCCAGACCACUUGUCAUUAGACUCCGCUAUCUGCUAGGAUCCAGUUUAAGAGAUCCAGUACUGGAGUCGGCAGAACUGGAGUAAAAUACUGGCCCUUGUACUGGGACCUCUCAGAUGUGGAGGUUAGCCUUGAAGGAUAUGUGCCAAGAAGCCAUGCAUGGAGAACCUCAAGUAACAUGAUGAUGCCGUCUGUGUUCAGCUUUGCCAAGAAUAUGCCUUUCAACUGAAAAUAGGGAAGAUAAAAAGCCCUACUACUGGGAUGAUGCAGGAGUCAGAAUUUCUUAUCGUAGAAUCUUACAUUAAGAUCCAAUUGCUGUGGGGCGCAGUGGCUCAUGCCUGUAAUCCCAACUCUCUGGGAGGCCAAAGCGGGCAGAUCACUUGAGGUCAGGAGUUCGAGACCAGCCUAGCCAACAUGGUGAAACCCCGUCUCUACAAAAAUUAGUUGGGCAUGGUGAUGCAUGCCUGUAAUCCCAGCUACUUGGGAGACUGAGGCUGGAGAAUUGCUUGAACCUGGGAGGCAGAGGUUGCAGUGAGCCGAGAUCGCAGCACUGCACUCCAGCCUGGGUGACAGAGUGAGACUCUGUCUCACACACACACACAAAAAGAUCCAGUUGCAUACUUUAUGAUGCCAACAUUCCUAAAUAGGAAUUUGCCUUACUGCUACCGUGGCUGGCUUCCAUUCUUGUAGCUCAGAUCCUUAACCUCCUCCAUUGUUAUCUGAUAUGGUUUAGAUGUUUGUUCCCUCCAAAUCUCAUGCUGAAAUGUGAUUCCUCCCCACCCUCCCCUGAAAAAAAGAAAAAAAUGUGAUUCCCAAUGUUGGAAGAUGGGAGAUGAUGGGAUCGUGGAGGUAGAUUCCUCCUGACUGGUUUAGCAGCAUCCCCUUGGUGAUAAGUGAGUUCUUGCUCAGUUAGUUCAUGUGAGAUUUAGUUGCUUAAAAGUUUGGGACCUCCCCUCCCUUGCAGUCUCUUGCCCCUGCUCUUACCAUUUGACAUGCUUGCUCCCCCUUUACCUUUCACCA